rnacentral:tRNA from 1 species
GGGGUUUUAGCUCAGGGUAAAGCAUGUGCUUGGUGUGCAAGAGGUCCUGGGUUCAAUCCCCAGUGCCCCA